UGUGCUUUUACAUCCAAUUGUUUUUAACUGUAGUUUAAAUAAAAAUAUUUACUCGUUACUUUGUUACGUUAAUUUAGCAACCUUCGAAGAUCUCAACUCAAUCUCCAUUGUAAUGAAUAUCUACGCAAGCUAAGUCUCAAUCUGGUAACAAUUGCAAUUUAUUUACACGUAAAAAGAAGUUCAGUAGAAAGCAAAUUUUGGUUGUUAUGAGUAUGUGACAAUUAUUAGAAAUUAAUUCUGUAUCUUUAUAUUUGACAUUUUGUUUUGUAAGAGUACCAACCUUCUAAGUAAAUUUUCAAUUGUAAUGAAUUUAAAUGCAUAACCUAGUCUCAACCUGAUAGACGUUACAAUGUCUGAUUAAAGAAAAAUCGUAUUAAAAAAAAAAAUUAAUUAUAAUAAAUAAAUAGCGAGUUCGCUCGAAAAGACCAUGUAAUUAAUUUCUACGCCUAAUACUCGUUACUGGCUGUGCGUGCCAAUAAUUUUGUGACUCACCGUGUGUGGAUUUCCAUAGUUUCGCUCAUAGCCCUGAAUGCCUUUCACUCGUCUACGUCGCAUUGUUUCGCAAACAUGCGGAAGAUGAAACGUAAUUCGUUGUACGACCGAAAAGAAGGAGACUCCUCGCGGAAAAGUGACUCGAAAGUACGAAAUUAAUUUUACUGCCACCGAUGGUCGAUAAAAUCGAGUUUCAAAGUUAGGGUACCAGCAGGAGUAACAAAUUUAUCAAAAUGAAAUAAGUAAAAUAAUAAAAUUACUGAAAUAAAUAAACUGAUAAGAUUACUAGCAGUAGCGUGAUUUAAUUUGUCGCUCUGUUCCAAUAAAUAUUAAAAAUAUGGUUUAUCAUACCUACAGUUAUUGAUGACAAGAUACUUAUAGAAUGGAUCAGGAAACUCAUGAUUGAUCAAACGAAACUCAUGUGUAAUAAUUGAGCGGAUUCUGCUCUCAGUCUCCAACUGUGUAUUUAGGGAGAAGGCAAUUGGCCCUGUACUAUCGAUUUCCCAUAGAGACAAGCAUCCCAAUGUCUAGCUUCUCAAGUGAAUGGUGGAAGAGUAUCGUCACACAUGACCUACGUAGCUACAUCUAAUAUCUGAGGAAACAUUCUGACGAAACAUUAUCUAACAACUGUAACAAGUGAUUUUGUAAACAAAACUUGCAGUGAGAUGCUUCUAUUAACACUAGAAUUACCAAACAAGUCAAUUUGAUUCAUGUAUGUAGAACUUCUUUCUAAAAUUAUUCAAUUAAGACUAGUUAUGUCGAUAAAGUGAUUUGUUCUUUCCUCAUUAAUAAAUAAUUCUGAGUAACUAAUGA